rnacentral:rRNA from 1 species
UACGUAGGGGGCUAGCGUUGUCCGGAAUCAUUGGGCGUAAAGAGCGUGUAGGCGGCCCGGUAAGUCCGCUGUAAAAGUCAAAGGCUCAACCUUUGAAUGUCAGUGGAUACUGCCGGGCUAGAGUCCGGAAGAGGCGAGUGGAACUCCUGGUGUAGCGGUGGAAUGCGCAGAUAUCAGGAGGAACACCAAUUGCGAAGGCAGCUCGCUGGGACGUAACUGACGCUGAGACGCGAAAGCGUGGGGAGCAAACAGG